rnacentral:rRNA from 1 species
AACGAACGCUGGCGGCAUGCCUAACACAUGCAAGUCGAACGAGACCUUCGGGUCUAGUUGCGCACGGGUGCGUCACGCGUGGGAACCUGCCCUUAGGUUCGGAAUAACUCCCCGAAAGGGGUGCUAAUACCGGAUAAUGUCUUCGGACCAAAGAUUUAUCGCCUUUGGAUGGGCCCGCGUUGGAUUAGCUAGUUGGUAGGGUAAAAGCCUACCAAGGCGACGAUCCCUAGCUGGUCUGAGAGGAUGAUCAGCCACACUGGGACUGGGACACGGCCCAGACUCCUACGGGAGGCAGCAGUGGGGAAUAUUGGACAAUGGGCGAGAGCCUGAGCCAGCAAUGCCGCGUGAGUGAUGAAGGCGUUAGGGUUGUAAAGCUCAUUUACCCGGGAUGAUAAUGACAGUACCGGGAGAAUAAGCGCCGGCUAACUCCGUG